rnacentral:lncRNA from 1 species
CCAUUUCUUUUUCGUGCAAAUCUGAAAAAAACCACAUUAAAAGCACCAAUUCUAAGUUAAAGCAAGCCAAAAUAACUACGAAAAGAGCCUCAAAUGAGUAGAAAUCCGACUCAUCAACACCCCCAACUUAGAAACCUUGUUUGUCCUCAAGUAAAGAAAAUCAAAAACGCAAGAAGCUCAUAUUUCAAGACACACCACAAAUCAAUUUCCCUCUCUCAAUUAAGCACAAAGGUAAUAACUUCGGUUGGUACUAACAAAUAGUACACAUGCAAACUUUUCACAAAAUAAAUCCUCACUCUCAUGAAACAUUUUCAAAAACCAAGAAUCGUUUAAGUGACAACAACUCAAACUCAAGAAAUGACUCAACUCAUUAACUCUUUCACAUGCUCACUUGACUCAAUUAGGAAUUUUCAAAAUCACCACUUUUUCAACCUACAUGCCCUUACAAGAAAGAAGUUUCCCAAAAUCACACACAUAUAAACAAGACAAGGGACAAAGAUGUAACACUCACACUUACAAAGAAUCAUCUCAUGCACACACAAAUGUCACACCAUAGGCUUGCCCAUAUUUUCAAUCAACAUUGACUCAACUCCAUUUGGUUAGAAAUCUCAAAGGACUUUGUUAAGCAAUAACGUAGGCUUAGGGAAGGUUAGGAUAUCAUUUAGGUAUAAGUGACUACACCCUCCUUGAACACUACAUAACAAAUCAUUCUUUCUAACUUUCUCCACUUUUCUUCACUUUCCAAACCCAUGCACAUUCCACACUACUUUUCAUUUUUCUUUUCUUAUUUCCACUCUAUUUUUCACUUUUCUUUUCUUAUUUCCACUCUAGAUUCCCACAUGCAACCAUUUUCAACUUUUGGAGGAUUUAAGUCUCACUUAUUCAUUUUCUUUCUUUCUUUUUCAAGGUUUUUUCUUUCUUUAAGACUUCCCAUCCAUCCUUCAAUUUCUUUUUUCUUUUUAUCUUUUUUUAUAGCAAGCCCACAUGUGGUAAGCAUCCCUUCAAUGAAUUUCCCAUAACACCCCCAACUUAGGCUUUUAGCCUCCACUUUCACAACCUCAAGUUCAAGGAGGGAAGGGUUCAAAAGAUGAACACCCCCAACCUAGGCCUUUAGCCUCAACUUUCACAACCUCAAGUUCAAGGAGGGAAGGGUUCAAAAGAUGAACACCCCCAACCUAGGCCUUUAGCCUCAACUUUCACAACCUCAAGUUCAAGGAGGGAAGGGUUCAAAAGAUGAACACCCCCAACCUAGGCCUUUAGCCUCAACUUUCACAACCUCAAGUUCAAGGAGGGAAGGGUUCAAAAGAUGAACACCCCCAACCUAGGCCUUUAGCCUCAACUUUCACAACCUCAAGUUCAAGGAGGGAAGGGUUCAAAAGAUGAACACCCCCAACCUAGGCCUUUAGCCUCAACUUUCACAACCUCAAGUUCAAGGAGGACUAACAAAUCAAAAGUCAUAAAAAGAGUUGUAAAAGUUGUCACAAAAUCAUUCACAACAUGCUCAACCUUUUAAAAACGGAGAGGUAUGCUCAACACUAUUCACAUGCAUGACUAUGCUCUUAGUACCAACCAAGUCAAAACCUUCCCAAAAAAGACGACGAUUUUGCCCUUAAGAGUUGUUAACCAAUCCAUCAUCAGGCAACCUCAUGCAUCUAUUCGGGAACGGCUACUCAGACUUCGCCACAAUCAAAGCCAAUCAAACACUCACAAGCAAUCGAUGAUUUACCCUUAAGAAAGUUGUCCCUCUCUAUCCAUCAUUAGGCAUCGUCAAUCCAAAUCUUAUUAACAAACCAAAAACAAAGAAGCUACAAACUACAAAUCAAAAACUAAAAUAGACCAAUCUAACACAAUAUUAACAGAAGCAUCCACGAUAUGAAAGUUCGACAAGGGCACACCAAUCCAUAACAAAGAAUGAAAAGUACGCCCAAUAAGGGCACCAUCACAGUACGCAGAAACAAUCAACAAAAUGACAACAAAGGAGGCAUUCCCAAUUGAAAACGAAAUUGUGUCCUCACUUCGGGCCAAGUACUUAUCAUAUUUUUUAGCACAUUUUACCGGUAGGAACCUGCUCUCAUCAAAAAUAAUCUUCCUCCUCAAUUUCAGGUGCCAUUUCUUGAUCAUUCGAAUUGGUUUAGAAAGCCAUUUAUAGUUCAAAACACCUACAAAUGAAGCCAACAUGUCAAAAGUACUUGAGGACACUUAAAUCAAUGGAUUAGGAAGUAUUUAAGCCAAAGAAAACGUCAAAAGAAGGUCCGAGCUAAGUUGUACGAAGCUACUGUUUUGGGUCUGUCAUCACUAUCUCCUCUGCAUUCGAGGAGAAAUGUUGCAUUACUUGUCGUUCUGGGUAUGGGUUGGCUCACCUACUGAUGGGUUAUAGUAUGUGUCAUCUUGACUAUAGAAGUCUGAAGUCGGAUUGUGACACAAAAAUACUUUAGUUGAGUUGGAUAUGAAACAGUCCAGCAUACUAUCUCCUCGUCAUUAUGUUAGAUUUAAAGUAAGAGGCUCCAUGUCUAGGUUAUUUUGCCUAUGCUUCUUAUUGGUAGUUUAAUUUUCCCCUAUCCUUGAUUGCACUAGUGUUCAAGGCAGUUUGUCUAUGCUUCCACCUCUUGAUGCAUUGCUCAUUCUUAAGGUUUGUUACUAGAUGUUGUAUUCAAAAAGCAACAUUGUUUUGAUACUUAUAUGGUUUUCAUCCUCUAUAGAAUACUAGAAGGGAAGCAUGUGCACAACAUAACAUUGUCGCAAAUAUUAUGUUUCAAAUUUCAUUACAUUUUGCUAAAAACACUAUGAACUAUAGUUGAGACAUCCAUUGCAUAUCAUAAAAGAACAGAUAUGACAAUAACGCUUCACCACAAAAAUUUCAAUCCACAGAAAUUACGAAACUAAUUUCCAAAGUCUGAAGAUACUACAAAAAUUCUCAUUCAAUAAGUAUUGACUUAUUUGUUCCCAAGAUUAAAAAAAGGGUACUAUACAAUAACAAAACAAAGAAAAUGAAGGAAAUGACCCCAAUAAAUAAUAAACACCAAGAACACCACAUUCACUCUCCUCAACUAAAAACAACCUAAAGAGUUCGAGUUCGAGUUCAAGUUCGAGAAGGGAUAUUUCUAGACAAAAGAAGCUUGAACUGGAAACAUGAAAUAGUAUUAGCGGUACAAUGUUUUUAAUCGCCCUUCAUUCAUAGCCGCAUCUCAAAUACUCACCUAUAACAACAAAUCUGAGUUCAUUGUGGACGACAUAAUAGCUUUAGCAGGAAGAACAAAAAAAUAAAGAAGAACAAACAGAUGUAAAAAUAGUAGCAGCACCUUAAAAACACUUCCUGUGGACAAUGGAUGGACCAGAGUUGUCGUACUCGCCCUUCGAAAUCCACAUUUGAUUAAGCACAAAACAUGUUUAAGUUAGAAACAACGUAGUUCAAAAUGCAGUUUAAAUUUGCAAAAGUUAUGCAAGAGAAAAUUUUAAGAAAUAAAGGCUUGCCAGCUGGAAGGUGCGAAGUGAUGCGAGGAUGGAUCCUCCAAUCUAGACAUUGUUCUUACUCUCUAGUGGAGAAACAACCUUAGUCUUCAUGCUGCUAGGAGUGAAGACAGUGAUUUCCUUGCUCAUACGAUAAACACCCUGCAAAUGUAUAUCUGAAGCCUCUAUAUCAAGUAUUGCCCUGUGUGGUUGUCUGGGAG